AAGACAGACAAGUCCAGAACGUACAACGUCUGAAGGUGAAAAGCCCAGUUCUGUAACCCAGAGGUAUGUCACACUUCACACAAUACGUGGGAAGCUUAGACGGAUUCUUAUUAAGAACUCCACAACACGUCUGGCCUCCACAGUGUUUGACCUGGUAGCCAGGAGCCUUGUAUGCGUCCUGUACGUGGUACGAGUUAUCCUUGACGA